rnacentral:sRNA from 1 species
UGGAAACAAUGGCGCAAAACUGUUACAC